rnacentral:rRNA from 1 species
AUCGAACGCUGGCGGCAGGCCUAACACAUGCAAGUCGAACGAGUGGCGGACGGGUGAGUAAUGUCUGGGAAACUGCCUGAUGGAGGGGGAUAACUACUGGAAACGGUAGCUAAUACCGCAUACCAUCGGAUGUGCCCAGAGUGGAUUAGCUAGUAGGUGGGGUAAAGUCUCACCUAGGCGACGAUCCCCAGCGGGUCUGAGAGGAUGACCAGCCACACUGGAACUGAGACACGGGCCAUAUUCCUACGGGAGGCAGCAGUGGGGAAUAUUGGGCAAUGGGCGCAAGCCUGAGGCAGCCAUGCCGCGUGUAUGAAGAAGGCCUUCGGGUUGUAAAGUACUUUCAGCGGGGAGGCGUUACCCGCAGAAGAAGCACCGGCUAACUCCGUGCCAGCCGCCGCGGUAAUAC